rnacentral:rRNA from 1 species
UACGUAGGGGGCAAGCGUUGUCCGGAUUUAUUGGGCGUAAAGAGCGUGUAGGCGGCCAGAUAGGUCCGUUGUGAAAACUCGAGGCUCAACCUCGAGACGCCGAUGGAAACCAUUUGGCUAGAGUCCGGAAGAGGAGAGUGGAAUUCCUGGUGUAGCGGUGAAAUGCGCAGAUAUCAGGAAGAACACCUAUGGCGAAGGCAGUUCUCUGGGACGGUACUGACGCUGAGACGCGAAAGCGUGGGGAGCGAACAGG